rnacentral:rRNA from 1 species
UUACCCCCGGGAUUCAAGAGUACGUGAAACCGUUCAGGGGUAAACCUGCGAAACUCGAAUGAACGAACGGAGAGAUUCAUCGUCAUUCCUCGGCGUACGGACGCGCGCCUCGAUGCCUUCGGUCGUUUCACGGCCGUUGGCACGGGUCGCGUCCGUCGACGUCCGAGGACGUCGUGCACUUCUCUCUUAGUAAAUACAUCGCGACCCGUUCGAUGUCGGUCUAAGCGCCGUACGGGAGCCCCGUUGCCCCUUCGCGGGGGUAGUGGGACCGCGACGGUGGCCGACCGGCCGUCGGACGGUAGUUCUGACGAAUCGCGCACGCGUUCUAUACGCGUCCGGCCCGACGCAAGUCAACGUCGUAUCAUACGUCUACGCCAUAGUGCGGACGUGUGUGCGGCGCGUCUGGUGUCGCAGCCGUGCUGUCUCGGACUGUGCGCGUCUCUGUCUGCGAUGAUUCAGUUUCGGGCACUCGCAGGACCCGUCUUGAAACACGG